rnacentral:tRNA from 1 species
GCCUGGUUGGCUCAGUCAGUCAAGCAUGUGACUCUUGAUCUCAGGGUCAUGAGUUCAAAUCCCACAUUGGGUA